GACGAACGCUGGCGGCGUGCUUAACACAUGCAAGUCGAACGGAAAGGCCCUGCUUUUGUGGGGUGCUCGAGUGGCGAACGGGUGAGUAACACGUGAGUAACCUGCCCUUGACUUUGGGAUAACUUCAGGAAACUGGGGCUAAUACCGGAUAGGAGCUCCUGCUGCAUGGUGGGGGUUGGAAAGUUUCGGCGGUUGGGGAUGGACUCGCGGCUUAUCAGCUUGUUGGUGGGGUAGUGGCUUACCAAGGCUUUGACGGGUAGCCGGCCUGAGAGGGUGACCGGCCACAUUGGGACUGAGAUUCGGCCCAGACUCCUACGGGAGGCAGCAGUGGGGAAUAUUACACAAUGGGCGGAAGCCUGAUGCAGCAACGCCGCGUGCGGGAUGACGGCCUUCGGGUUGUAAACCGCUUUCGCCUGUGACGAAGCGUGAGUGACGGUAAUGGGUAAAGAAGCACCGGCUAACUACGUG
rnacentral:rRNA from 1 species